rnacentral:rRNA from 1 species
UGGGGAAUUUUGGACAAUGGGCGCAAGCCUGAUCCAGCCGUGCCGCGUGCGGGAAGAAGGCCUUCGGGCUGUAAACCGCUUUUGUCAGGGAAGAAAAGGUUCUGGCUAAUACCUGGGACUCAUGACGGUACCUGAAGAAUAAGCACCGGCUAACUACGUGCCAGCAGCCGCGGUAAUACGUAGGGUGCAAGCGUUAAUCGGAAUUACUGGGCGUAAAGCGUGCGCAGGCGGUUAUGCAAGACAGAGGUGAAAUCCCCGGGCUCAACCUGGGAACUGCCUUUGUGACUGCAUGGCUAGAGUACGGUAGAGGGGGAUGGAAUUCCGCGUGUAGCAGUGAAAUGCGUAGAUAUGCGGAGGAACACCGAUGGCGAAGGCAAUCCUCUGGACCUGUACUGACGCUCAUGCACGAAAGCGUGGGAGCAAACAGGAUUAGAUACCCUGGUAGUCCACGCCCUAAACGAUGUCAACUGGUUGUUGGGAGGGUUUC